UAACUUCCUAGUGUACGGUGCAUUAGAAAAUGUCGGAACACUUGAUAUGUAUAUUCGUCUUUACAAUUUGGGCGUGUUGUCGGGUAACAUCAGGAGUUUGUCCAGACGGUCGGUAUGGCUUACACUGCAGCUACACAUGUCACUGUACUUCCGGUUGUGAUGAUGUCACAGGGUGUUCUGGGAACUGCAAAAAAGGAUGGUCUGGACCAACAUGCAACAUGAAUAAUUUAGCGUUGUACAAACUUGCCUACCAGAGUUCUCACUAUAAUGGGGCCAACAUACCUCCAUCAGCUGGUGUUAACGGGGAUUACACUCUAAAGACGGGUAUACUCACUGAUCCAUAUCAAAAUAACUCUUGGUGGGAAGUGGAUCUGGGAAAACCACAUUACAUACACAACGUGACUGUUCACUUCAGGAUGGAUUACCCAUAUCGCAGGAAUGGAGUUCAUGUGUACAGUUCUUUAACAGUGAACCAGAGUAACACAGGUCAUCUGUGUGGUGCAGCAACGAUAAAUAGCCCGGAUGUAACACGUAUUACCUGCGACACCACGGCUCAGUACAUCACACUGUACCAGGGGACUAACAACACUCAUGGCGCUGGAACGGGAAUGGAUUUUUGUGAAGUGGAAGUAUUUAUUUGUGAUGGUGGUACGUUUGGAGACAACUGCACCGAAUUCUGUCACUGUCAAGGUCAACCGUGUAACUAUGUAACUGGAGAGUGCUUUGGUGGGUGUAAACAAAACUGGAAUGGAACCCAGUGUAAAGUGUGCGAUAUUGGUCACUAUGGUUUCCUUUGCAAUGCUAGCUGUUCCAGUAGACAUUGUGAUAACACUUACGUAAUAUCUUCGUGUGACAACGGAAUUGGGAAGUGUGACAAUGGAUGUCAAACAGGCUGGAGUGGAGUCGACUGUACACAAAAGUGUUCCACUCGUAGCUAUGGCAAAGAUUGUAACGGAUCCUGCAUAAACAGACAUUGUCUUGGAAACUCGCCAUGUGAUCAUGUGACUGGGAAAUGUAUCUAUGGUUGUGAUCGGGGAUAUGCACUACUUGACUGCGCUACGAACUGCAGUGGUGACUACGGCUUCAACUGUAAUAUGUCCUGUAGCUCUCGGAACUGUUACAACACCUCCUCGGAAUGUGACCAGUUUUAUGGAAGCUGCACAGGAACAUGCUUGGAUGGUUUUGAAUUACAAGACUGUGCAACUGAAUGUCGCGGAAGCACGUUUGGAUCUGGGUGUAAGUUCAGAUGCAGUGAACGACACUGUGAUGGAGACAGUACGACGUGUGAUGCUGAAAGUGGAACAUGUCAAAAUGGCUGUACACCAGGAUGGAAGAAACCAAGCUGUAUGAAACCAUGUGACACUGGUCGGUAUGGCGCCGAUUGUUCGUUUAUCUGCACAAGAAGACGCUGUCUGAAUAAAGCUGCAAGUUGUGAUCACGUGACUGGUUCCUGUGGAGGAGAAUGUGAGGAAAACUGGAUAGGAGAAGACUGUACUGAGUGUGAUGGGAAAUACGGCAGUGGUUGUAGCUAUUCCUGCAGUGAACGAAAGUGUAGAGACCCCUCAGCGCCAUGCGAUCACGUGACGGGAUCUUGUAACGGAGGAUGUCUGGAUGGUUGGCAAGGAGACACGUGCACCACCACUUUAGAGAUCAGUCAGAAUGACAGUGGAUCCACGAUUAUUGCAUUGGCCGUUGCCUUGGGAAUAGUUUCCAUACUACUGAUUGCACUUGCUGGGGUCUUCUUUUGGCACGUGAGACGUUACAAGAUGACGCCUGGAUCUACAACAAGAGAAAACUCUAGUGUGGCAAACCAAGAUGGUGGACACUAUGAAAUCGUAGCCAGACAGACCGGUCGUGAACGAGACAUCGCGAAAGUUGAUACCUCUCACGAGAGCGGCUACGUGAAUUCACCAAGGUCCCGUAGAACAGAUGAUGUUUCACAACGGCCCCUAGGUGAUAGCGACAGUGGUUAUGUCAAUGCAGGACAAGAUAUUCAGCUGAACGAAUAUGAACAUCUUGAUCCAUCACACUCACCGCAGAAUGUCUACGAUAAAAUAACUGGAAAUUAAAGACACUCGCUCCAAUUCUGGCAACCGCCACACAAACAACUGAACGGAAACUAUUUUGGGACGAAACUCAUGAGUUUGUCCAGACAGUCGGUAUGGGUUAGGCUGCAGCUACACAUGUCACUGCACUUCCGAUUGUGAUGAUGUCACAGGGUGUUCUGGGAACUGCAAAAGCGGAUGGUCUGGACCAACAUGCAACAUGAGUAAAAAAAACCCAUAUUAAACAGUUAUUUGUAAUAUGUUUGUAUUAGGUAAUAACAGAUUUGUAAUUUCUGAACCCUUAAACUCAGUAGUCAGAUACCCAAUUUCAAAUACUUCACUGACCUGAGUAAUAUUAAGGAUGUGUCUUCUGAGUGUAUUAUCCGUCAUGCAUCGCAAAUUCAAACAAUAAAAAUUACUAAAAACAAAACAAUAAAAACUGUAUGAUCAACAGAAUGAAAAAAAUUGACAGAAAUAAUGUUCCACAGUGAUUAAUCGACCAUUGUCA
rnacentral:misc_RNA from 1 species